GCUCUGAGAUCGUUGAUACUUCAAAACAAAACAAACCCUCGAGAUCGUGUGUACCUCGGCGAUAAUUCCUUUGGGCCAGGCGUGCCAGUACUUUGUUGUCCUUCGUCGAGACUGUAUCGCGAUAUUAAAUAUCUACGCACCUUUCGUCGCGUACUUCUCAACGUGUACCGAAAUUACGAUUUUUCUAAUUAGUUCUUUCCCGCGCGAACGAUCGUACUGUCAACGCCAUGUUAUUUUAUUGUUAUUCGAAAGCAAUUAACUUGAUGACAUCUAUGGAUGAUUUUGAGCUCUUCGAGAAAUUUGAAGUGUUCGUUGAUUACCGACCGAGCCGCUAGGGUGUCGCUCGAGCGAUAAAACACGCGACGAUCGUAGUGCUGGAAAGAAACCCUUAUGCACGUUUUAUCGUUUAAACUCGCACUUUCGAGUUCUUCCCGCGCUCGUUCACCGUGCUCGUGCUUCGGUUCUCGUUCUUUCAAAUCUUUUGGAUAUUUCCGGGUGAAAAUUGUGCGAUUUAAUACGCGAACAGUGCAAGUUGACUAAGUUUUAAACUCAGUUGUGGAAUAUUCGUCGAAGGUGAUGAAGAAUCCGUUGAAGAAAGAAGGUUAAAUUUUCACCGCUUCUCCCACCACAAUGGCGGCCAUUCUUGUCAUGGCAGCAAGCGGGAAAGGAGACGGAGAGGACGGAAAAGACGCGGGAAAAAGGAGGGACAAGGAAGGGUUGGAAAGUGUCGUGGAUAAAGAGGGUAGAAGAGGCGGGAACGGGGGAUAUCUGGCUGCUCUAUCUAUGGUCCCGGCUUCAUGGUGAAUACGAAUGAGCUGCUGGUCGAUCGGGCUGAAGCACUAAUUGAGAAAGUUCGCUGGUACCGCCGCUGGUGUUUCCUCUGGAUGAAGAUAGCCGACCACCUCUGGGGGAAAGUGGAGAGAAGAGGAUGUGGACGAGAUUAAACAGAAAGGCAGAGUCGAAAAACGGCGGCUAGCUGGGUAAGGAGGUCGGUUACGGAGGCUGAGACUUUGGACGAACGAAAGGAAGAAACACUGUUCUGUAUUAAGUGAAGAAUCACUCUCAGUCGCAUUUUUGGUGAUUGCAAGAAAAUUCGUGGAAAAACGAGUACGAUUUGACUGAUCGUGAGUUUGCAACUUUGAGUAAUUAGAAAAUUUGCUUGGUUGGCUCGUUAAUUUCGAAAGCAAGCCAUUGUUUGAACAGUUCAGAGGGUUGAUGGUUUUUUAAGCCCUCGAUAAACACUCGGCUUACUUUUUGUUUGAACCCGUUACUUUAUGCGUUUGCAAAGUUUCUUAAAUAUCACUGGUUUACUUUAACUUGAUCAAUUUACUGUUGAAACAAUUUAAACCUUAGCGAAAGGAAAAGCGAUCGACGAGAAAAUAUUGAAUUAUUGACUUGUUCUACUGUGGCUGCGUUCUUUUAUUUUUCAAUUACGUUACUUCUAUUCGAGUCAAGAAUACCGAUACAUGAUUGAAAUGGAAAAGACGAUUUAUCGUUUCCGUCACGGAUUUCGCGUCGCGACACCUUUCGAAAUAAAAGCGCAAUCGUUCGAUCGAUGUCACGAUCGUUGGAUUAAACUUGCAAAACACUACUGUUUCAAGCCGUUUCGACAAAAACGUUGCCGCGUGUACGCCGGAACUUUUGAAAAUACAGCGAAAAUUUUUUCCAGAGAGAAGGCGAGCGUAGUAAAAGUUGAGCUUACCGAAACCUUCGGGGAAAUAUUUGACAGGGCUCGAAGAUUUAUGCAUCAACACGACCUAAAAUGUACAUCAAGAUUCGCGAUAUUUUCAUUUUGCAUGCCGAGUAAUGGGAAAGAAACAGUUGCAUUAAAUCCAAGAAAAAUCCUUAGUAAAUCAUAGAAUAAAUCAUUUUCUUUGCAUAGAAUCUUAAGGAUAAAAGGGAGACGUUUUCGCGAAUUAUCGAACCGCGGCUCUGUAAGAGUAAACACAAUUCGAGGUUUGUAAUUCGGCGAUAAGUCAAAAAUUUGUCCGCUUUCAACGCGCGAGGAGAGUUCAAGACCAGCAGGAAAGUUCGCUCGAGGAGUUUGCAGGCUGGUCACAGUUUCGGACCAAGUCGCUAACUCGACACGUAGACGAACAGCGCUAGCGCAAAAAUGAAUUUUCUCAGAGGUUUACGAGGUGAAUUUCAGCGUUGCUCGACACGAAUGACGAGCAGCAAUCUUCGGGAAACGGAAAGAGCGUUCGCCUUACGGUCGAUUACUCGGAAAAAUCCAUGUACAUCGCGACGUCCAAGGAAAGACAAACAAGUUUUCCAUUCCGUGUAAAUUCAUUUUUCUUCCAAUUUCCUUUGAUAAUCGCCAAGAGCAACGUGUAAUAAAUUCUCCAAAUUCUUAUACGCGAACUGGAUCCCGUUCAAUUCACUCAGCGCAAUUUUCUUCUCCUCUUUGUUACGUUUCAAUAAAUUACAUGUUUUUUUUUUGCUUUUAAUCGCGCGUUUGUACGUUUCGCCACGACAACGAGCAAUUGUUCGUGUUUCGUUUAAUACCCAUCGUUGUUCGUUCCUUUAAUUGCUUCGCCCCUUUUCCCUGAUGAUAAGCGUUUUCACGCAAUCGCCCUAUUAAUCGACCGCGUGCCGGCGAAACAGGAAACCCACGAAACGAGAAAGAAACAGAAUUCGAAAGAAGGUACAAUAUAAUUACGUCGAAUUUACAUUCUUUAAUUUCAGAUGCAUAAAUUUCUCGUUCAACGAAUCGUGACUUUAUUCGAUCAGACCGGGUAGAUUGAUCGUUUAAGAAUAACCGCAGGGGUGCGAAUAGUUUUACAACUCCGUACGAGCGAAGUUCAGGAGAGGUCAAUUUUCUUGCGAAUAUUAUCCUCGAUCCACGUUCAAUUUCCACUUGAAUUCUCUGUUUUUUAAUGUAAGACUUCGAAAUAUACGAAAGUUGGGAUUCUAAUCAAGGGAAUCUCAAACACUUACUUUAAUGAAUUCUCAGUACAAACUUACCGUUACACUGUAAUUGCCGUAACGUUGAACGUUUCAUAGCGACGAAGCGUGCUGACAUUCGCAAACAAUUAUUCCCUCUCAAAUAUUUGGCUGUCCAACUUCACCUCGUUUCUUCCAUGAGUGCGCUUAAGUAAACAGGUAUUCCGUAUUCGUUGCACGCAAACGUAACACAUCCGCUGCGUCGAGGAAAAUUCUGACCCGUUUUAUCGUUAGAAAAUUGGAGAAUUAACCGUAGAAAAUUGUAAGCGCGAUGAAAAUUACGGAUCAAUUUUCUGUAUUUCGUUUCGGGUUUCGAACGAUCCGAUAAGCAUCGUUCGUCGUCCCUCGGGGAAAUUAGAUGGAAGGAAAACUGGUAGGCGGAAACGACACGCGUAGGAACGCAACGGGAGCGGAUAACGACGCGGGCGUAGAUACAGCCCAUUUAAUUAAACGGCACGAUGAUUGCUCGUUAAUCGCGACGUCGAUUCAAAGUGCGCAUUGUUAACGUAAUAAUGACGAGGCGAAUUCACGGGACGAAGCGAGGCAAGUCGAGAUAGCAGUACAAUUUCCAUUUGU